rnacentral:lncRNA from 1 species
UUUUCUUUUAGAGAGCAAAGGUAAGUUAAACCGGCACUUGUACAUGUCGGGGGGACUCUCAAUCUAACCAGUGAAUUGGUCAAUUGGUCUGCAUUUCAAAAACAAAUUUCCAAAGUGCAAGUCAUUUUUCCUAUGGCUAGAAAUCUUUAAAAUUGUCAAAGCAAACCUUUAUGUCCAAAGCAGCUUUGAAGUUUGAAAUUGAAAGCUGGCAGGCUAUGUCACCCUGCAGAAGGGAAUAUUUUAAAUUCCUGGAGAGCAUGUCAGAAUUUCAAAGGAUAAUAAUAAUAGUUGAAAGCCGACUGAUGUCUAGAGCUGAGCAAGCAGCGAGGCUUAAAGGAUCAUAGUCACCAAAACACUCCAGACCCUCUCUGUGUCCUCUUCACGGAAACAGGCAAUUAUGCAGAUGGAAGGCCAGCCUCCUGUCCAACAAAAGAAGUCCUUCUGGAGCAUCCCUGUUGGAGGGCCAGAUAAUCUGCUAGAACAAUUCAGAGUCAGGGCUUUGGAGAGAACAUGCUGCAGAAUACCGGGUCUGGAAAGAGAGACGUUCAGGAAGACUUCCAAGGUAGCAGACCAGAGGCAGCUUUGCCCUUUCAGAAGGUGAAAGCUAUUUGUAGAAUUGGCAUCUGAAGGGAAGGAUAAAAGCAAGCACAUCAUUUCCUCGUGUUGAGGCCAGAAGAAAGAAUUGUAAUUAGAAGUGAUGUAAUCAUUUUGCUCGAAAAUCAUUUCUUCAGUUGUAAGCGUAGAGCGCGGAGAUUCUCCUCUGUACUGGUGAUGCUGUGUGUCUGACCAGCAGAAUAGGCUUCUUUCAGCAAGAAGCUCAGAGGAGGGUCAAGGUCUCAAGUUGUCACAGGGAGGGGAGCCUUUGUGCCUAUGUGGCAGCAGCCACCAGCUCUCUGUCAUUUGGUUUCUCUAGCCCUCAGCACAUCACCACAUACAAUGACUAUGAUAAAAGACUUCCUGGCUGGGCAUGAUAGCUCAUGGCUAUGAUCCCAACACUUUGGAAGGCCAAGGCAGGAGGAUGGCUGAAGGCCAGGAAUCAAGACCAGCCUGGGCAACAGAGUGAGAUGGUGCUGUCUCUACAAGAGAAAACAAAGCCCUGAUUUUGCGGGUGGUUGAUGGCUGAUCUGAUCUUCUCCUUCCAGUGUCAUCAUCUUUUCUGGAAAUGAUCUGAAAUGCAGAGCAGACAUGAGAAGCAACUACAAAACCUGAGGGUGAAGUGAAGGUGAGGGGAGAUUGUUUUGUUUUCGUCUGAAAUAUCCGGAUUUUUGGGUUCCCUCAUGGCUUGACUGAC